ACAAAAUCCCAAACUGCAGGCAAAUACAUGAAAAGAUGUGAGGAAGGAAAUCAUUUGCAUAGAACAUAAGCUUGCCUCACAUCCUCUCAGUCCUCCUGCUACUCAGCAAUUCCUGCAGCAAACAAACUGCUCUGUGUGAGUUUAACCAAACAGCAUGUGGUGUUAGCUACAUUCCAUGCCCUCGUUUCAUGUCCUGGAGCUUUUCUAACAUGGGAGCACCCAGGAGUGACAGGCAGUUGACCUCCUUUGUGCCACUGAUGGAUAUUAUGGGAUGGGAGCUGUCAGUUAAAUUCUCCCCACUUCUACCCCUAGGACACAUUAUUCUGAGGCACAACUACGAUAAGCAUUAUCAUUCUCUUCACCUGGAAGAAGUUGUAGAGGUUCCAUCUCAGAAGACCAGAAACAGCAUGAUAAAGCAUGGACUUCCUCAAGAAGAAGAAAUCACAUUUAGAGCUGUUGAAUUUAGAACAAGGCAGAAGGAGAUGGUCAAACUAGUUUGUUCUACACCUUGUUCCAACAUCUUUUCAAGAGAAAAAUCACUGGCCCUAAUGGAAGGAUGUUUAUGUAACUAACAUAAAGAGAUGUCAUAAUCACCAAUUAGAAAGAGAGAAUGCAGAUGAGAAUCAGAGCAAUGCUCAGUGCUCACUGAAUCUAUAUUAUAGCAGGCUAAUGUUAGUCUAAGGCUGACUCUAUGUGCAAUGACUUAAAAAAUAUUAUUUUAGAGUUCUUCAGAAGACUUAACAGUGCUUUUGGCAUUUAUUCCAUUACAAUGUGCUAGACAGACAUGAUAAUUUGUAGUGAUACAAUUGUUCAAUACAGGUAACUUAUUUUACCAAGCUUUUCUUCUUUUUUUCAAAUCAAGAUGGUUAAACUGUUAUAGUAGGUAGCUAGUCAGACAUGAACAGGGCAAGAGAAGGCUCCCCUCACACAUACACAGCGGGAACACCAGGCGACCAGCAGAUGAUGGUCAGGCAGUUGUUAACUGAGUCUCUAAAACAAUAAUUGGUCACAGCCAGUACCAGGGGAGGGCAGUCUCCCCAUAGAUAGAAAACACCUGAAACUAGUGAUCAGCAGCUUCCCAAUAAGAUCUCAGAAGUUGGGUGAGCGGGCUCAAGCAUGCACAUUAAAAUGGCAGAAUUUAAUCAGCAAAUGACCUUCCAGGAACAUUUGACUGGUAAAAGAAGAACGCCUCAAGUGAGCAUGUGUGCAACUCCAGUAAACACACUGUACA
rnacentral:lncRNA from 1 species